CUGCUGCCUCCCGUAGGAGUUUGGUCCGUGUCUCAGUACCAAUGUGGGGGGUUAACCUCUCAGUCCCCCUAUGUAUCGUUGCCUUGGUGAGCCGUUACCUCACCAACUAGCUAAUACAACGCAUGCCCAUCUUUAACCACCGGAGUUUUUAACCCAAGAAGAUGCCUUCUCGAAUGUUAUGGGGAAUUAGUACCAAUUUCUCAGUGUUAUGCCCCUGUUAAAGGUAGGUUGCAUACGCGUUACGCACCCGUGCGCCGGUCGCCACCAAAGUAUUG
rnacentral:rRNA from 1 species